rnacentral:lncRNA from 1 species
GUGUUGAUUUAUUUAACAGGCAUAAUGUCGUUCUACGUUUAUUUUUCAUAUUUAAGCAGUUUUUAUCCUCUAUGUAUUUAAUCAAAUUACUAGGUGAUAAGCCCACAUUCUUGAUAGUUUGCUCGAACUCCAAAUCUACCUCGGUGUCAUACCCAUUUUUCGGCGUAUGCCCGUUUUCUUUGGUAGUUUGCUCCGACUCCAAAUUCUAUCGUGAGUCAUACCCUCAAAGUACAUGACUUAAAUACUUUUUUUUAUCAACUACUAUUAUACUGCUUUAGUUCUUAUUUUAGACAAGUUUUAAACAAAGUGUAUAAUUACUCUACAACAUUUUGAUUACCUAUUAAGUUUUUCAAUUUAUAUCAAAAUUAAUCUUUAAGAGACUAUUUAUGUUAGCUUAAGUCACGUUUUUAUAUGGAUGGCGAAUCCAUACAUAGCACUAAUUUAAGGGUGUCAUGAAUACCCAAAAAUUCUUACGACUCAAACAACCUUUAUUUCUCUUAAAGGGAAAUUUACAUAUCAAUUUUACACUCAAAUUAAAAUAAUCGCUGCAGCACACAAUGCCAAACUUUCACAUUUAUUCAAAUUUUCUAUCAGAUGUUUAAUUUAUGUACGCUUAUCUUUUGUAAGUUAAAAUUUGAGGCAUUAUUUUAUGGUUCUCAUCUAAACAGAGGCAUUUCUUUUAAUCCUUCACAGUUUAAUGAAUAUUAACCGCCUGAACUUUAACUUCCAAAUAAUAUUAC